rnacentral:lncRNA from 1 species
CGGACUGGGCAACUUUUCUGCCCAGUCCGCGGACUGGGCAAUUACGCCAACGGGGUGUAACAUCUACAUGAAAAUGCCCAUUGAAAAAAUGUCUAUAGUAAAUAUGUCUGCGGUAUUAAAAUGCCUACGGUUUGACUGCCUACUCCAAAAAUGUCAAAGUACGUAUAUUUAUGUCGUCCAAUAAGAAUCUCAUUUGGACUGUCGAAUGUUUGAACAGUUAUUGAAUCAAAAUUGUGCGCUACGGCAGAAUUUUAUUUUAUAUAUAUAUUCAAUGUAUUUUAAGUGGCCAACAUAAAUAUUUUGACAUUUUCUAAGUGGGAAAACAAACCGUAGACAUUUAAUAUCGUAGACAUAUUUGACUGUAGACAUAAUUUUAGUAGGCAUUUUAAUGUAGACGUGCUGACUUUGAUCUAAAAAAGGUAGCCCAUUUUUUUGUAGCCCUUUUUUCUGUAGACGUACUGUCUGCAUACCAUGACCUCAAUCUCAAAUAUCCGGAUAAUUUAUGCCAACAUUUUUAUGCCUGAGUAUUGUGCGAAUUUCUAAGGAUUGUGAAUUUUGUAAAGAGAACUAUUGAUAAGAUAGGUAUUUAAUUUUUUCAGUUAUUGCUUUAUCCUCAAUGCAAGUCUUAGGUCCCACUGAACAGAAGGAGUACGAGCAUCGGAAUGUUGACCUUCCAUUCAAACCUUCUUUCAUAUCUGUGAACGCUGACGAAUCCCUCCUAGUUGUGGUUGUAGAUGCAACUGUUGGCGCCCUAGCUACUAUUUACGAUUUGCCGUCUCUUACAACACAGAAUGUUGUGAUAAAGUACCAGCUACGCUUGACUGAGACUCCUGAUGUUGUCGUGCGGGAUCUUCAUUGGAAUCCAUCUAUUUCCAGUCUGAUUUCCUUUGUCAAUUCUGAUGGUUCUGUGAGCCUCUUUGAGCUCAAAGGCUGUUCUUUCGGUUUCACAUCCUUGCCACCAACAACUCUUGCAACGUAGGUUCCUCUCUAUGUUUGAUUCUUGUUCUGCGCGGUGAACUAUUAUUAUGAGCGCACGAAUUGUACUUCAGCCCAUUUCAUGAGUCGAAAUUUGGGGUUUU